UGGUCUUUUGGGUCUCAUGUC
rnacentral:siRNA from 1 species